ensembl:lncRNA
CCCCUCCCCGUGCAUAUCUGCACACACGCUCCCAGGGAGCCCCGGCGGACAGACGCGAGAAAACAGAGGGGCCCCGAGCGCCUACGUGGAGCGCGCACACACUGAUGCCACGCUUUCCACGGUGGGAAGGAAAUGAAGCGCGCAGUGGCCAGAGCCCGGCGGAGAGCAACAGACCACUGGAGCAGGCUGCCCAGAUAGGUUGUGGAGUCUCCUACUUGGAGAUAUUCAAGACCCACCUGGACACCUUCCUUUGCAACCUAUGAACUAGUUUUCCACUCGUGAUGCUCAAAGUGGCAAAAAUAUUAUAGAAGAAAACUAUUGGAUUGUCAAGUUGUAUUAUAAAUACAAGACCUGGAUGCAAUGGACUCAUGCAUAAUCUUUCUGUGUAAGACAUUUGCCAUCUGCCUACCACUCCCAUCUUGAGUAGAGAAGGCUGCUGGAAGACACGAUACAGGCCUCAAAUAUGUCAAAGAUUCUUCAUCAAGGAAAGAAAAAAGCGUUUUUCUGCUUGCCAUGUGUAAGAUCAGAAAUGAUGAGAUGUAAUUGUUCAAGAGGCAUUUAAGUGCGAAAUUGGGAAAAAAUGUCUAAUGGUAAAUACUGCAGAAAGACAGAAACAAAUGACUAAGGAAGGUGUGCAGUGUCUGUAAUGAGAAAUUCUUUAGCAACGCUGAGAAAUAUCUAUCAUGAAUAGGUUAUAAUCCUAUCCUGCCUUUUUAAGGGGAGAAGGAGAGCAAAUUAAAUGUUGUUCGAAGAUCUUUUUUCCAUUUUCCAUGAUUCUAUGAUUAUUUUUCUUUUAUCUGUGGCUCCUGCAAGACUUUUCCCCUGUUCACCUACCAACUCCCAUGGAGCCAGGCAGCCUGACCAGGACCAUGUUUCAGAUAACUGGAAGAACUCAGUGAUCGCAAACACAGCUGCCUUUUCUCCAGCUCUCCAUGUCCCUCCAGCCGGAAUUGCUCCAGAGGGAGAGUAGGUGCAGUGCAGCUUGGACAGGUAGCAGCCCACAUUUACUGAGGGACCUCUGUUUUUCCAGAGUCGUAGAGCAAAUCAUCACCAUUAAUCUGAGGUGUGUCCCUCUCACCUUCCCUGAUGGCAAAUCCUACAGGUGGAAGAGAUUAAUAAUAUGCAAAGCAGGAAUGGUCACAGAGUCAGAGUUCAGAAAGGUAAACUUUCCUCCAUCUCCAGCUUGCACACUUGACCACACAGCGCCUGAGCACACAGCUCAGGCCCCCCACCUGGAUUUGUUAAAAUCAUCAAGCAUAUGCAAAGCUCAGAACCAACCUACUCAUUUUCUGCAGCAUCCAGUAUAGGUUAUGUGAAAUAUUAAAAUAUGUAAUUGUAAAUGCAUGCCCUUUAUUGCGUUAUAACUAAGAAACCAGAUCUUUUCCCACUGACUUUCCAUGCAACUUUUCCCUGUUCUCAUAUCCCAUGUGGCUCUUAAGUGUGCAAAGGCACCAGUAUUAAAAUUUAUAAGAUAUUUAUAUAAAUCAGAUGGUUGGUAAGUAUUAAAUCUGAUUUUUCUCAAUAACCCGAGGGGGAAUAUUAAAAUAUUAAAAUUGUUUGAAUUUUUAAAACACAAAUGGGCUUUUGAAUAGUUUAGGCCCAAGCUUCAACUCUUGUACUCAAAUACAUUCUGGCUGAGUACAGAGUUCUUGAAGUUUUUGUCUUGUUACUCACAUCUAGUGAGACAAAUGGCAGACUUAGUAGAAAGUCUCUUCUGAAAAAUCAUAAACAGAUCCAUGUGGAAGAAUGAAUAUUAUCUUCUGUUUUCAUCCUGCGCUUUACAUGUUUGGAAGUAUAUAUCUCUUGUCUUAAAUAACUGAGGUCACAUUGUAAAACUUGCUGCCAGUGUUGCCUCAUGGCAUUACCAGUUUACGUACUAUCUUUGCUUCCACAUUUAAACAUCUUUGAUGUAAUUGUGAACAUGAAACCUUACAACAAUUUUCUGUUCAAGAAAUUUUAUUCUCAGUCUCUUAACACACUUUCUGGGAACUAAUUCUGGUUCCAUAUUGUGGACUCAACAGUUAACAGCUGUGGGUAAGCAUAGCCAUGGCUCCCCAUUUUCUUUUUUAGUAGAUAAAUAACAUUUGCCUCGAGGAGGAUGUGUUAUUGUUCUGAGAUGUGCAAGAGUAUGUCUAGAAUAGCUGCAGAAGAGGGAGUUGUGUAUGCAGAAAGAAUGUUUGCUCUUUCCUUUAGGCUCUGAUUAGGUCAAUUCUUGGGACAUGUUUGGCUUGCAAACCCACAAUUACUGUUACACAGUUUUUCUGGAGAAGGGGAUUUCUUUGCAUGCUGUUUUGGUCAUCUUGUUGCCAAACCAGUGUGUAUAUGUGUGUACUGGAAAAAGCAAAUUGUAAAAGGAAUGUACUUAAACUCUAUAUCACUGUUUUUUCCAUAGCUGAAAGAAUCAAUCUACUGGUAUAGGUGUGUGUGCACAGAAAUGAAGAUAUUGACAUGAGAAAAUAACAGUGGAAUCAGAAGAAACAAGAAAUGGUAUACUGACAAAAGUAAUGUUUUUGUUAUUGUUAGAUGUUUUAAUCUUUGUGCUUCAGGCCUCAUUUCAUAUUUCGUACUGCAAAAUGAAAAACAAACAUAUGAAAGAAGAGAAUUGUUUUCUUUUCCUUUUGAGCUGCUAUUUAAAUGAGUUCCUAUUACCGUUUGUAAGAACUACAUUUUAGGGAAUGUAGCAAAUCCCAACAAGUAAACAAAUACAUCUUAAAUCUAAUCAUUACAAGAUUAUUCCUGAUAUUUAUAAUACCCUGGCCUUUAAGUUUUCUUUUAGAACAGCUGCAGGGCUUCUGGACAAGAUGAGUAGCUCUUAAUCGAACGGCUGAAAAACUCCCAAGAAGUGAUUUGUCAUCUUAGGCAAGGCAUUUUUAAAAUAACCCAAUGGCACAUGAAACUAGGCUUAAAUGCCAUUAUGAUAAAAACCACUUAAGCUACUGAUAAUCAUCCUAUGUGAAUUGGCACUCUAUAUGCUUACAGACAAAUCUGGACAUGCUUCAAUUACCUUUUCAGCAUAGCUCUGAAUACUAUUAAUACUAUGAAAAAUGUUAUAUAUGUAAAUUACAAAAAUACCACAGUAAGUAAAAAGUGUAUGUUCAUCAUUGUAAUUAGUGGCUUGUGCCAAGAAAGCAUCUUGUGAAAGCAGAUAAUUGACUUUUUUAAAUUAGAGGUGAAAGAAACCUGCAAGAUCAUUUUAUUAACCGUGACAAACUUGGCAUGCUGCUAUUACAUUUUAUCUAGAAAGAAAUGCUAAUUCACUGAUUCAUAACAGAUACCUCGUUUCAGUGUUCUUUUCUAUUUAGUAAUGCUGAUGAGUUCUUUGAGUUGAUCACCUGUAAAUUGCUCUUGUGAAGUAGUCUUACCCCUAAUUAUUAUUAUAGGGCUACCUAUAUUACCUUUUUUAUCAAGAUGCUGGUCUUUGGGCUGAUGAAGAAGGAAGUUCUUACACAUUUAGGUUCCAGAAGUCUGGAUAAUACUAGUUUUGCUUCCAGGCUCUUAAUGUAAUGCUGAAUAUGUCUGAAUUUUAUUGAAAUUCUCCGUUCUGAAGUGUAACAAAUACAUCUUCACUGACUUUCACUGAAGAAUCAACGAGACUAAUUCAGGUGCAGAGAAUUUCCACAGAGGCCUUCAAAGAUCUCUCCCCAUUGGCUAUAUGGAGUCUUCACUGAAUAAAAGCUGGUAAAAGCUGCAUUUUCAUCUUCAAGAGACAUCUACUGUUGAAAUCUUUCUAAGCCUAGCCAAGUUUAUUUUCUGCCUUAUCACACUUGAAUAUUUUUUACCAAAGGAAAAACAAAAGAAGGCACUUAACAUGCUUGUGACCUAAAUAUUUUACUAUAGGAAGAUUGCAUUCACUUUACACCUGGGCAGCCAGGCUUUGUUCUUUGUGGCACUGUAUGUCCAAACCACCUCUCCAAUGGAAGCAGAGUUUAUUAUUCUUCAGUAUUUUUAAAGUCUCAUACCUAGUGCUUUUCAAAGUAAUGGAAUCUGAACUGGAGUCAAAAGAUGCGAGUACUCAGUAUAGUUGUCAUUUACUUGAACAUUCCUUAAAGGUAUAUUUAAAUGAUCAUAGGUUGUGCAAGUUCAGAUAAUUCAUUUUCUAGUGAAGCAAAUACUGACUUCAAAAAUUUGCUAUGUCUGAAAUGAUAUGCUGCUACCGUUAGAUAAGUACUUCCAAAGCAUGAAGAUAAUGACGUGUUGUGUGCCCAAGUGUGUUAAGAGUGGUUAAAAGGCAAAGUCUUCUGGGAUAGCCCUGGGGACCUGAAGGGGUGGGGGGAAUCUGAUGCGUUUUGUCCACAACGUCUAAUAAGGAAGAGCCAUGUUUAUCCCUCACACUUCUGCCUGAGAGGGCUAGCUGGCACAGUGAUACUAGAGAGCAUGUUGAUAAUUUAAGUGACAUGGACCACCAGUAGUCUAAUGCUCAGUUUUUAUUCCUGGCCCAGUUCUAUUAGGCAGCUUAGAAAUAGCCCUUUGAACCCAUGCUUUAGUGAUAUGUUCAUCUGCUGAAGAAAAUAUGUUCUCACUUCUUUCACGUUUAUUUGGAGGCUAAAGUAUAAAGUCUGCCUGGCUGUGGUGUUUGAACAAGAGAUAAUGUAUGGAGUCCUAGAAAAAAUGGUGUAUCUUUUUGUCUCAAAAUUUUAUGAUUCUCUUUCUUCAGAAGAGGAUAUCCUAUCCAUAGCACACUUGCAUUCAUGAAGAAACCCAAACAUGGGAGACUUCUGUGAUACUCUUUGGUCUCUGCAAGUCAUCAGAGUUAGCAUAAGUUCCUUCACCAAUUCUUUGACAGAUACUCUAAUUUAAACUGGAAUUUUCCUAUCCGUAUGUCGUAAAGAACACAAGUGAGUCAAGAAAUCAGUUGUAUACCUUGUAAUAACUUCCUCAAAAACCUUAUUCCUAUACUAGAAGACAUUAUUUCUUCUUGUAUUACCAAACAUUAACUUAUAACUAGCUUUCCAAGUCAUUAUGUAUUUAAGUAGACAAGAUACACGAUAAGGGAUAAUUAUGAGUGAUGAUACAGACACCAGCUAGAUGAACAUAAACAAACAUGAUUAAAUAUGUAUUUAUUUUUUAUAAGUUUUUACUAGAGCUACCAAUAUCUGCAGAAACUAUUUCUGAACAAGACUGAAUCAUUUUUGACUUUUCUGUGACUCGGUUGUGUUAGUUGAUAUCUAUGUCAGUGUGGCUGUUGGCUUCUCUUGAUUGUUAUAUAUUCGAGCUUGUCAUCAUCAGAAGAAUCAACAAGUGACCCAAUUCAGCUUGGUUUUCACCUUUCACCCACGUAAAAUUUCAAAAGGAGACUCAUUGUUUCUGCAUGUGUCGUAACCCUGUAAUUAUGAAGAAAUUCAGUAGCAAAUUACUUCCAUGGCUUUUCCCCUCCAUUCUCUGCAGUUGAAAGCAUUCUUUCAAGAGACAUUAACUAGUCUCAAUUUCCCUGUUCUUCUGAGAAUAGCACGCUAACAAAAAUAUACACUAAAUAUUUUCCUGAGAGAGAAAAUCUAGUGAAGUCAGUGGAAAUAAAUCUCUGCUCAUUAUCAGUUACAAUUUGACAUGCAUUCCUCUUAUAGCUCAGCUCCUCAUUUACGUUGGAGCGGUACACACUGGGGAGCAUCUCACAAUACUGAAGAAGUUUCUGUGUGAACAAAAUGUGUUUAAUAAUUUUUUUUUCUAGGUUCCUAGAUCUGGGCAGUCAUAGGCAUCAUCAUUAUUGCAGUACGGGAAAAAAAAUAAUGGAGCAAGUUACAGAAUGUGUCAACUUCUGACCUGUGAAAUAAAUGAUGCAAUAAAAAGCUAUCAGCUGGAUGCCAGUCUUCACCAUAUUUUAUCAACCACCAAAACAGAUUAACAUAGUUAAUAAGUUAGGAAAUACUGUCACUGGAUAUGUAUUUUACAAUAUGGUUAUUUCUGUAAUAUAUAUAGGAAAGGCUUCUGCCCAGCAUCUCAAGUGACAACAGUUACACUGUGUAGUGGACUUGUAAUAUUUGUCAUCUGCCUGAGUCAAGUAGCUUAGUUUUGAAUGUAUAAUCAAUAUGACAUUUUGGAAGGCUGCUUUUAUUUGCAGCAUGUAUUCCUAUGCUUGCCAGCUCUGAAAGUAAAAGGCAACCUGACAGUACUUUAACUAAUGAGAUCUUUGAUCUGAAAAUAUAUAAAACAACCUUCUUCCCCAAUUUUUGGUAAAUUUGUCUGAAUACCAUGAAUUGUGUAUCUAAGAAACAGGCUUCAAGCAAUUCCUUUGAGUUGACAACAACCUAUUUCUACUAACAGGGUGCAAGCAAGUUAGACAAAUGCUGGAAAACUGAGUUGACAGCUGAUGUUCCCCUUUCCACUGGCCCAUGAUUUCAAGCCAUUUUACAUCGGGGCAGUAAAAUAAUCUAGAACCUGACACUGUCAGUGGGUGAAUUAAACCUACAAAUAUUGGGCUAGAGACUUCGUGUUGAGUUCUCAUUACAACUCUGAAAUCAUUUUUUCAGAGUUUUUUCAUGUCAAAGGAAUAGCACCAGAGGAAAGAAUUGGCAUAAACAAGCCCUGUUGCACGUUAUUGAAUAGGCUGUGUACACGUUUGGUUAAAAGUUAACAUUGCUCUUUUUCUUUCCUCUGGAAGACCUUGAAUAACCACAGCUUUUAGCAAAGCUUGGCAUUGUCUUAGGUAACAGAGCUGAGGUUUAAAAUUCUUGCUAUACUGCUGCCAAAAAACAAAAACAAAAGACAACAACAACAACAACAAAAACUUGCUUUUGAGAGAGAAACUUUUAAAGUAAUUUUUUUGAUG